UACGUAGGGUGCGAGCGUUGUCCGGAAUUAUUGGGCGUAAAGAGCUUGUAGGCGGUUUGUCGCGUCUGCUGUGAAAAUCCGGGGCUCAACCCCGGACUUGCAGUGGGUACGGGCAGACUAGAGUGUGGUAGGGGAGACUGGAAUUCCUGGUGUAGCGGUGAAAUGCGCAGAUAUCAGGAGGAACACCGGUGGCGAAGGCGGGUCUCUGGGCCGAAACUGACGCUGAGGAGCGAAAGCGUGGGGAGUGAACAGG
rnacentral:rRNA from 1 species